rnacentral:rRNA from 1 species
UGGGGAAUCUUGCACAAUGGGGGAAACCCUGAUGCAGCGACGCCGCGUGAGCGAUGAAGCCCUUCGGGGUGUAAAGCUCUUUCGGCAGGGACGAUAAUGACGGUACCUGAAGAAGAAGCUGCGGCUAACUACGUGCCAGCAGCCGCGGUAAUACGUAGGCAGCGAGCGUUGUUCGGAGUUACUGGGCGUAAAGCGUGCGUAGGCGGUGGUCCAAGUCUGGUGUGAAAUCUCCCGGCUCAACUGGGAGGGUGCGCCGGAAACUGGGCUGCUGGAGUGCGGGAGAGGCAAGCGGAAUUCCAGGUGUAGCGGUGAAAUGCGUAGAUAUCUGGAGGAACACCCGUGGUGCAGACGGCUUGCUGGACCGUAACUGACGCUGAGGCACGAAAGCGUGGGUAGCAAACAGG